CCCUUAGGUGUUCUGGGCCGCACGCGCGCUACACUGAUGCAUUCAACGAGUCUAAAACCUGCUCUGAUAGGGGUGGGUAAUCUUUUGAAUGUGCAUCGUGAUUGGGAUAGAUGAUUGCAAUUUUUCAUCUUCAACGAGGAAUGCCUAGUAAACGCAAGUCAUCAGCUUGCAUUGAUUACGUCCCUGCCCUUUGUACACACCGCCCGUCGCUCCUACCGAUUGAAUGAUCCGAUGAAUAUCAUGGAUUGAGGAUGCAAGCAGGUUCGCCUGUCUUCAUCUUCGAGAAGUGAAGUAAAUCUUAUCAUUUAGAGGAAGGAGAAGUCGUAACA
rnacentral:rRNA from 1 species